GCGGUAGCUCAGGUGGUAGAGCAUCGCCUUGCCAAGGCGAGGGUCGCGGGUUCAAAUCCCGUCUUCCGCUCCA
rnacentral:tRNA from 1 species